rnacentral:rRNA from 1 species
CCUACGGGAGGCAGCAGUGAGGAAUAUUGGUCAAUGGGCGCGAGCCUGAACCAGCCAAGUAGCGUGCAGGAUGACGGCCCUAUGGGUUGUAAACUGCUUUUAUCAGGGGAUAAAGUGCGGCACGCGUGCCGUUUUGUAGGUACCUGAUGAAUAAGGACCGGCUAAUUCCGUGCCAGCAGCCGCGGUAAU